CAAAUUAAUGGAUGAGCCUGAAUGAAAAAUAAUACCUUGGGUGGACUGCUAGAUAUUAUUAAUGCAAUUUCCAGAUAAUUUUAGUGUGCACACUGCCUGGACACAUUUAUUUGCCAGUGAUUGCUAGUUCAAUGAUCAUUCUUUAUGAAUGCUGUUUUUGUAGAAAGUAAAUACAUGGUCAGCAGUGAUUCACUAUAUGGGGUAGAAGAUACAUUUACUCCUGUUGAUUUGUAUCAGAGUAUGCCCAUCGAGUCACAGACCCAUGGGAAGGGAUGGAAUACACAGUCAAUCACAGUAAGGAAUGCUGAAAAGUCAAAGCAGUAUGUCAUGCUACUAUCUUUUGCUGAAUGCUUUAAUCAUUAGUAUUUAUACACUUCAUACUUCAUUGUAGAAUUUGUAUCAAACAUGAACAAUGACAGAACAUGUUCAGCAUCAAUUCUC